rnacentral:rRNA from 1 species
AUUGAACGCUGGCGGCAUGCCUUACACAUGCAAGUCGCACGGUAACAGGCCGCAAGGUGCUGACGAGUGGUGAACGGGUGAGUAAUGUAUAGGAACGUGCCCAGUCGUGGGGGAUAACGCAGCGACAGCUGUGCUAAUACCGCACACGACCUGUGGAUGAAAGCGGGGGACCUUCUGGCCGCGCGCGAGUCGAGGGGCAGAAGUCAGAUUAGGUAGAUGGUGGGGUGAAGGCGCACCAAGCCGACGGUCUGUAGCUGGUCCGGGAGGACGACCAGCCACACUUGGACUGAGACACGACCCAGACUCCUACGGGAGGCAGCAGUGGGGAAUUUUGGACAAUAGGCGCAAGCCUGAUCCAGCAAUGCCGCGUGCAGGAAGAAGGCCUUCGGGUUGUAAACUGCUUUUGUACGGAGCGAAAAGGCUCCCUCUAAUACGGGGGGCUCAUGACAGUACCGUAAGAAUAAGCACCGGCUAACUACGUGCCAGCCGCCGCAGUAACAC